CAAGCUCAUGUCUAUAGGUCUG
rnacentral:miRNA from 17 species